rnacentral:rRNA from 1 species
UACGGGGGGAGCAAGCGUUGUUCGGAUUUACUGGGCGUAAAGCGCACGUAGGCGGCUUUGUAAGUUAGAGGUGAAAGCCCGGGGCUCAACCCCGGAAUUGCCUUUAAGACUGCAUCGCUAGAAUUGUGGAGAGGUAAGUGGAAUUCCGAGUGUAGAGGUGAAAUUCGUAGAUAUUCGGAAGAACACCAGUGGCGAAGGCGACUUACUGGACACAUAUUGACGCUGAGGUGCGAAAGCGUGGGGAGCAAACAGG